rnacentral:rRNA from 1 species
ACGGCUCAGUAACACGUGGACAACCUACCCUCAGAUCUGGGAUAAACCUGGGAAACUGGGUAUAAUACCGGAUAGGUCUUGGAUGCUGGAAUGCACCGAGGCCCAAAGCUCCGGCGUCUGAGGAUGGGUCUGCGGCCUAUCAGGGUAGUAGUGGGUGUAAAGUACCUACUAGCCUACGACGGGUACGGGUCGUGAGAGCGAGAGCCCGGAGAUGGAUUCUGAGACACGAAUCCAGGCCCUACGGGGUGCAGCAGGCGCGAAAACUUUACAAUGCCGGCAACGGCGAUAAGGGGACCUCGAGUGCCAGGAUACAAUCCUGGCUGUCGUAAUGCCUAAAAAGCAUUAUAUAGCAAGGGCCGGGCAAGACCGGUGCCAGCCGCCGCGGUAACACCGGCGGCUCGAGUGGUAACCGCUAUUAUUGGGUCUAAAGGGUCUGUAGCCGGCCUGGUAAGUCUUUUGGGAAAUCCGGCAGCUCAACUGUCGGGCUAUCAGAGGAUACUGCUAGGCUCGAGACCGGGAGAGGUGAGAGGUACUUCAUGGGUAGGGGUGAAAUCUUGUAAUCCUUGAAGGACCACCAGUGGCGAAGGCGUCUCACCAGAACGGAUCUGACGGCAAGGGACGAAAGCUAGGGGCACGAACCGGAUUAGAUACCCGGGUAGUCCUAGCCGUAAACGAUACUCGCUAGGUGUCGGCCACGGUGCGACCGUGGUCGGUGCCGUAGGGAAGCCGUGAAGCGAGCCACCUGGGAAGUACGGCCGCAAGGCUGAAACUUAAAGGAAUUGGCGGGGGAGCACAUACUGCUCAGUAACACGUAUAGGAAUUGGCGGGGGAGCAC